CCCCUUCCUGAUUCCUUCUCCCCGUUAACUCUCUCUCUCCCUCUGCCUCUCCAUCUCCUCAUCUCCUCACCUCCUCCCUCCUCUCUCCUUCCUAAUUCUCCUCCCCGUUAACCCUCUCUCGCCCUUCCUCCCUCUCUCUCGCUGCAUCAGACAGAGGAUGAGUCUCUGUGUAAAGACGGAAACAAAGAGAACAAGAUGAAGUCUGGAGGUGGCGGUCGUCGAAGAGGUGGUCAAAGACAUCGAGGGAAAGCAAUAAACGCUGCAGCGGUCCCCACAGCGGUCCCAGCAGGCGCAGCAGGAACCGCCUGAUCUCCAUCUUUACUCUGGGGGGGGGGAGUUACGUCACGGCCUCUGGAUGGAAACGUUUCCCUUAUAUAAAAUAAUAACUCAUCAUGAGUGAAUUUCCUUCCACGUUAAGACAAUUUAAAGCUUUAUUGGUGUCUGAAGAUGAUUUUCAUUUAGUUUUAUUGCAGUUUCUUGCAAUUUAAAUGCAUUAUAUUACCUUUUUCUAUUUGAAUACUGGAGUUUUGGGGGUGUUUGUAGUUCACCAGUUGUUUCAUAGCGUUAUCUGAGUACAUCAGAGGAAGAGCAGUCACUUUCCCUCCCUAAAUGUUCUCCAUCCUCCACAAUCAAAUGUGUUUUCCCCCUCUGUUGCUCAUCUCCUCUUGUGUUCACCUCCACGUGACGUUCAUUAAUCCAUUUUACCGUCACAGGAAGAGGAAGUAGUUGAAAAGCUUCAUUUCUAAUUGUUUUUCUUACAAUGCUCCGUGUCUCUGAGAGUAGCAGUGAAAGGGAAUUAAUGCCAACCGUAGAAUAAACAGCUAGAUGAUAAUUAACUAUUGUAGAUCUGAAAUAAUGCCUUCCUUGUGUCACAGUGCCGGGUUUGUUCACUAAGAAAGUUAUUGUCCUAUCCAGGUGUUUGGAAUUAAAAAGCUUACAUUGAGCUAUCGAGGAACUACAGCACGGUCACACGACUUCACGUCACCACGCUAAGCUAAAGGCGGCUAAUGUUGGGCGUGAUGACGUGGAGUCGUCUCACUAGUGGGGUAUUUACUGACAAAUUGUAAGGCGUAGAGCAAACAUCUCUUCAGUUUGUCACCUUAUUUAAGACUAACAACCCAAGACACAUCCAGAAAACCAUUGACGUCAAUUUUAACCUCACAUUGUCUAUGAUUAAUCCUGCCAUAGAAAAGUCAUUUUAUCAGUCAGACCUUCCUUCCUUCAGCUAAUGUCGCAGCUUUUCUAGAUCCAGAUCAGAAAGAAACCCCUUGUUUUUCCCCAAAGUAUCGUCACAUGUCAAACUGGCUUUGUCGCAGUUAACGUUUGCCGAAGUCCUUUUGAAUUCCCCUGCUUAGUUUGCUUGGAAACAUCUGAACACAAGAGCACCAUUUUUCUUCCGUUUCAAUCGCAGUCUGACUUCCUAAAACACACGAUCUGAUUGGACAACAAUUAUUCAUUCAGCCGUGUUGUUCCACACUUAAAAUGUAAAAAAAAGAAUAUUUUUAAAUCACUAACAGGUGAUGGGACGUAAAGGUCAUUAGAAUCCGACAUCUUUCAAAGCUUCAAGGGUCAAAUCCAAACAUGUGUCAGACACAGGAAGUCCAAUAUUAACGUCUUUGUCGGUCUGCAUUUAAUCAAUAACUUGCAGAUAUGUUCAAGGAUUCAGUGUUGAGUCGCAGAAGUGAAUCAACCGGAUGAAGGUGAACAGAAGCUGGUCUGAACACAUCAUCUGAUUGUCUUUAACCAUCACUCUAGAGUUUAACAGAGUUUUCUGCAUAUGUUAUCCAGUUGUUCGAUCGUUCCCAGUUGAUAUUAAGAAGAAGUGUGUUUGAGGGCUUUUUCCUUCCAUGUCUGUAUAAUAAUGGUUUUCUCCGACAGCCUGAAAAGCCACUUAAUCAAAGAUCACAAACAACCUGAACUGCCAGAAUAUUAGAGUUUACCAAUUUUUUUUUUUUUAAGGGACACUGUUUGUUUGUACGUUGUGCAAGGAUGAAAAAAAAGAUGCCAUUUAAAUUAAGUGGUGCCAGUUUGUGUUGUAAAUCCUUUUAAAUAAAGAUGUUAUGGAAAACUAA